UCAGAGGAGCCUGAGCGUAAUGUUAAUGUUCUGAGUGCUUCUGAAGUGACAGGAAGUGGUGCAUAUGCCCAGGGACAAAGCCAAGUUGAGGAGCAGAACCACAGUAGCUUGAGGAAGGAAUAGGUGAGAGUAGUGAUCCACCUGCCUCGGCCUCCCAAAGUGCUGGGAUUACAGGCGUGAGCCACCGCGUCCAGCCAAUUGGUGGGUUCCUGGUCUCACUGACUUCAAGAAUGAAGCCACGGACCCUCGCAAAAUAAGCUUCAAAUGAAAUAGGCUUUCGAUGUGACAGUGUUUACAGGAAACAUUAUGCUGUUACGAACUUCCCUUAGAAUCAACCCAUUUGUGAAACACCACAUUAAUAAGAGCAGUAUCUUUGGAGAUUGGAGAGUCCACCAAGGAUGCCCACUGGCUCCCUACAAAGUUUUUUAUGUGAGGACUCGGUCUCAGGCUCAGAAGUGGAAGAGAUGUGCCUUGACUCAGAUGAGACUUUGGACUUGGACUUUUGAGUUAAUUCUGGAAUGAGUUAAAACUUUAGGGGACUGUUG
rnacentral:lncRNA from 1 species